UCAGACGAUGCGUCAUGCAUAUCAAUAAGCGGAGGAAAAGAAACUAACAAGGAUUCCCCUAGUAACGGCGAGUGAAGCGGGAAGAGCUCAAAUUUGAAAUCUUAAAGGGUUUCCCUUUACGAAUUGUAGUUUAAAGGAGUGUUUUCUGUUGAGGUUUUGGUAAAAGUUCUUUGGAAUAGGACAUCAUAGAGGGUGAGAAUCCCGUAUUUGACCUUUACUUUCAACUUUGUGAUACACUUUCAAAGAGUCGGAUUGUUUGGGAAUGCAGUCCAAAAUGGGUGGUAAAUUUCAUCUAAAGCUAAAUAUUGGCGAGAGACCGAUAGCGAACAAGUACCGUGAGGGAAAGAUGAAAAGAACUUUGAAAAGAGAGUUAAACAGUACGUGAAAUUGUCAAAAGGGAAGCGUUUGACACCAGUGUUGUUUUUCUGAAAAUCAAUUAAAGAACUGUUUAUGCUAAGCUGUUUAGACUUUAUCAGCUAUCUGUUUAGUUUUGAGCUUUUCUUUAAUGCACUUUUCGGUUAACAAGUCAACAUCAAUUUCUUUUGCUGUAAAAAAGCUUGAGGAAGGUGGCUUGAGAUUCGUCUUAAGUGUUUAUAGCCUCUUGCCUAUGCAGUCGGAGAGAUUGAGGUCUGCAGCGUAGAUCCUUCGGGGCUAAAUGCAUUUGUGCUAAGUUAUAGCAUUUUAUAGACAACUUGUUGACUAUGAUUUGUCUCGUAGCUUACUCGCUUAUGUUAUUUUACCUACGCUUAGGAUGUUGAAUCUGUGCGAGACUAC
rnacentral:rRNA from 1 species